AUGAAGAACGCAGCGAAAUGCGAUACUUGGUGUGAAUUGCAGAAUCCCGUGAACCAUCGAGUCUUUGAACGCAAGUUGCGCCCGAAGCCAUUAGGCCGAGGGCACGCCUGCCUGGGCGUCACACGUCGUUGCCCCCCCAUCUACUCCUUCGGGAUUGCGGGGGGCGGAUGAUGGCCUCUCGUGCGCCUCGUCGCGCGGUUGGCCUAAAUGCCAAGUCCUCGGCGACGCACGCCACGACAAUCGGUGGUUGCGAAACCUCGGUUGCCUGUCGUGUGCGGUCGUCGCGCAUCGAGGGCUCGAAAAAAUUGCCGGGCUUCGGCUCGACUUUCAACGCGACCCCAGGUCAGGCGGGGUUACCCGCUGAAUUUAAGCAUAUCAAUAAGCGGAGGA
rnacentral:misc_RNA from 1 species